rnacentral:lncRNA from 1 species
CAUGUACGUCACCCCAUGAUAAUGUAUGCCUUUGAAAAACCUUUACUGUGAAAGUAUAAAGAAUACAAAACUCAUAAUUAAAGUGCAAAGCUACACGACAACGCCGCUGCUGUGCCAAAGAACGGGGAAAAUCGUAUGAAAAAAUAGAGAUUUAUUCAAAAAUAUAUCUAUAGACCCAAAUUUAGUGAAACCAACAUUCUGUCGGAAAAAGAGUCCUUCACAUAACCAUCUUUCGCAGUCUCCGAUUUCCAUCGUCCAUGCCUUUUAAACAGUCUAUCCGAAAUUCCAAAAUUACAAGCUGCAGAUGCUCCACCUGCUCUCAGACUAUGGAGACCAAAUGAUUUUAUGUUCGGCACAAACGGAGUAAAAACUUCAAUAAAAAGCUCCCUCAUUCUUGUAUAUGAAAGAGGUUUGUUGUCUUUACGGAAUGUAAAACUAUCCUUGGAUUUCGUCAAAUUCCGAAAUAAAUAUAAAUCACAAUCCGUUUGAUUAUUACUCCAUUCCAAAUACUUCUCUAAAUUCUUUACGGGGCACAAUUUAUUCCCGGUUCUAGCGAUAAUUAUUCUAUCACCAUCUCUGUAAAUAUCGGUUUUACUUUUCUGUAUAAAUACGGACAUGUGACUUUGAAAAAAUAAAACAUCACAGGUUUUAAGAUUCAACAAUUCGGACACACGUAAGAAACCAGAAUACGAUAACAAGCAGGCACAAAUAGAACGCUGGUUAUACAGAUUAUCUUCGCAAUAAAAUUUAUCAAACAUAUGCGAAAGCAUGUCUGGAUUUAUGGGCUCUUUCUUCUUAACCGGAACUGAUAGACGUCUCUUAGCUCCUUCCAGAAUAUUUUUCACUAAAUCGGAAUCAGUAGGAGAAAUCUCACUAGUAAUUUUAUGUGCCCAUCUGAUACUAUAAAAAGCUUGAUUGAUAGGACUGGGCGUAUGAUUUUGUUGCACUAAACAUGCUAGAUAUAAAGCCACAUGAAUUGGUU